rnacentral:lncRNA from 1 species
UGCAAAGGGACUGUACCAUGGAAAUUGAGAAGAAAUCUCCAUCAAGUUUUUCCAUUUUAUGCCAUAUGAAUAAGAGAUUCCUUUUAGUUAGAAAGCUCGCGUAGAAGUUUGCUAUCAAAGACCUCGGUAUUCUUUUCAUCCGCGGUUUCCCACUUCUCUGUCUCUGGGUGAAUGCCUCUACCAGAGGUUAUGCGCCAGCUUGGGAAAGCCUUAAGUUAUAUCUUAAUCUGUCUUGCAAGGUAGAUUGGAUCAUGUCCGCGAUAGAAGUUGCGGAGGAAUGAAACGACGAUUUCGGUAUAGGAAGAGAAAGGGAUUGUGCUUUCGACCGUGGCGAGAUAGGAUAGACUUGGGAUUCUUUCUUGGCCCUUGAUUGCCAACACUCUGGGGCUGAAUUAAUUAAUGAAACUAAUAGGAAGGAUUGGGAUGAUGAACUGGAUCAAUUCUUUCUUUCGCUGACUGACCAAGGUAAUUAAUUCCUUCCAUUGGCCAGGCGGGUAAGCAAGGAGACGACGUUCUCAUUAAAAAAAUGAAAUAUGCCAUGCCGAAUUCAAAAACAACUCCUUAAACUCCGUCGUUUACCGACAUCCUCUCGGCUAUCAUACGUCCUCCGCUUAUCUCUCUUAGGCAUAGGCAUCUCGACACAUUCCUCCUUCCGAGUUACUUGUCCGAACUUGGCUCUUUAGUAAAACGAAGGAGCUGCUAAGCUAUUAUUAGGUAUCAAUUUAGGAGCCUUUUGUCAUUUCCAACUACAUUAUUGUGAGUAUUCGGAACCCGUUCCUACGCGUUCAUCAAAUUGGCUGGCUUUGGACCCUCGAUCGCAGCAAUGAACUCAGCGUCCCACUUAACUUACUUUUGGUACUUUUGAAUCUUGUCCCAUCCCAUAGCUUCACAAGUGAAUCUACCUAUGGAUCCAUAAAGUUGAUCAUUACUUUUCAAAUUCUUAUUUCAUGUGUCCGCCAUAGCGCUUAUCUAUCUCCUGGUCUGAUUCAUCUUUGGAAUGUAACCGGACAUGUUACAAGGCGAAAAAACAGUGAUUUCAUCGAUUCCGGAUUGCCCAGUGUCUCCCUUUCCCUCUUUCCUUUCACUUUCCUCGCAUAACGAAAGCAUGAUUUACCCGAGCCGAGUAUCUUGUUAGAGUAGUAGAUUCCGCGCUCGAGAUGAUGUGUGUGACCGGGCAGGAGAUUCUUUUACUCCAAAGCCGUUGCGCAGGUUUGUGUGUGACAACUAUGUCGAUCAGUUUUUAAAGACGCCUAGAAACUAUGUCUACAGAUUCCGACAGAGAGUACAAGUGGUGCCAUCGGAGGAAGCUGACAACCUCAGAACAAGAAUGGAAAAAGGAUUGAUUGCUCGACGAAGUAGUACCAACAGGAUAUAUUAAUCACUAGGUUACGGUAAUAUGUGCUUGUCUCCGAAAAGAAGGAUAAAAGGAUAGAUUAGCAAAGCAGUCACUCCCAACGGCAGAUGAAAACGAUACCGACACAUCUACUAAAUCAUCUUAACAACCUUGAAGAUACGGGAUUAUAUAAUAACCUCAUUUAGUUGAUAGAUCAUUAUUGGAUUCUUUUUAUUGUGACCAAGAUCCAUGAAAUAGCUCUCUUUAUACUACGUUAUAACUAGCGGAUACUUCCCAUUCUUAUGUCUUCUUUCCUUAUUACGACUCCUGUGCUUAGAUAAAAUACGACGUUUGAGUUUGGACAUAGCCAAUUGCUACUUACGGUGCUAGGCCUUUUCAAGCAAUGGAAGGCAGACUUGAAUGCCAAUCAGACAUGGCCAGAAGCUUAGAAAAUAUCACUAGUUUCUCUUGUUUAUCACUUAAUAAAUAGUCUUAUUUGUCCCAGGGAGCGAGGAGAGAAGAUGACAGGUUGAGUAGAGAAAGGUGGGUCAUUGUCCCAACGUAGUAGUAUUUUUGUUUUGUUUUCAGCUGAUCUAUAUCAAAAUAAUAGAAUAAAUAAAGGCAAAGGAUUUGGUUCAGUCGUCAAGUACAGAUUUCCUUUACCCAGAGUUGGGAACUCUGAAUAGUCGUUUGAAUACCGAUUGCCUUCCUUGCGCUUCAAUUCCUCUUAUCCAAUCCAACUUCCCCUGGGAGCCAAGCAGAAAAGCAAGUCCUCUAGUUAUGGAUGCAGUACUCACCUCACUAAACUUAGGAAGAACUAAUUCAAGUAGAAUUACAAAUAGCGAGAAGUGGAUGAAAAAGGGAUCGAUCCUAGCUCGAAAACAGCUGCUCCUUCCCUCUUUCUUGCUUGCUUUACUCGGUAUUCAGUGAAAGAUUAGGCUUGGUAAUUACAGUUACCAAUGGUAAGGAUUGGCACGUGAACUUUCCUUUUUAUCGAGCUCGAAAAAGCAAUGAGUGGGUUGGCUGUGAAAGGAGAGUAGAGUUUUUUAGUUUAGUAAGAAAAGUACUGGGUGAGGCUCCCCACAUCCAUAACAUAUUAUCUGUACUCUUUUUCAAGCAUGCCUCUUUUUAAUGACUCUCUUUUUCAACUUAAUUGUGGCAUUUCAUUCUGUUAUUGACUAAUGGUUGACACUAGAGAAGCAUUGAAGGCUCCUUCCAUAGAUUCCAAAGCCCUGUUUGCUAUUAUCAGAAUAUUCUGACUCCCUUGUUGUCUUAUUGAUCUGACUAACCGCAAUAACAACAUUGCCAUUCGGGGUUACGCGAGUCGGAGUAUUAAAUAAAUGGAAUAUUCCAGCAGGAGCAACCGAACCAUCUUCUCGUUGUCCUUCCAUUCUUCUGACCAAUAAAAUAGCUCUUGGUCAUAAGAAACCAGCCGGAGUUCGAAAUCGGAGAUAAGAAUUGAAUCGAUUUCAGGCACUUCCCUCAAGCCGAAACCGGAACAGGAAACUUGUAACUUCUAGCCGAGAAGGAUAAGAGAGGUUUGUCUUGCUUUGUCUUAUAGUGAUUGUGUGCCAGGGGUCAGCGAAGAGACGGGACGCUAUUGUCCCGGACUACUUGGACUAGUCUACUAGGACUCGGUGGAAGAGACUUGUUUGUGAUAGGACGAGAGAUCAAGUACAGUGUUCGGUUCAAACUAGGCAACCUCUUCGUUAUAAGACCGAGAAUAGUAUAUGCCCCGUCUCACCACUAGCUAGGGCCACCAGCAUUAGGAAACUAAGGAAGAGUCGUAUGGCUAAGGAAUUCAGGGCUGAUAGAGCUCUUGGGAAGAAGUCAGUAUCCAGCUUUCUUUCAUUGAUAUCACAAUAACAAGCGAGGAAAGGACAGACUUUCAAGAGAAGAUAGGUCUGUUUUUCAUUAAGGAAUUGCGGCGAGUAUUGCUUGUUUCCCAGAUCCGGUAUCAGGACCUGUCGAUAGAUGGGAUGGACCCACCCGUUUGACUCUUAUGAAUUGAUAGUUAGAUACUAUUGCUAAAGGAAAGUAAAGAUAGUGGUUUGUGUUGCAAAAAGCUAGUUCAAGGUCAGGCUCCGUCAAACAGAGUCGUCAAGAACGAAAAGCUGAAAGAAUGAUGUGUCAAACAGUGAUUGCGCACAGAGGUUAGUUAAGUAUAGGAACUAUUGUCCCUAACAAGAAGUAUGCUGCUGUCCCAAUAAAAGGAUAGUUGGAUGGUAUCGAUUGAGGGAAUAGGGAUAGGUGGUUAAACGCGAUGCUGCGCCUAACUAUAUAGAACGGUGAUCCAUGAAGAGAAGUUGGCCAGCUAUUAAGUCAGAGAAGUCAUCAACCUAUUACUAGUGUCAGUUCUGUUAAGAGAAGUCAUCAACCUAUUACUAGUGUCAGUUCUCUUCUUCCUCUCUACCAAUUGAAAGUAAGUAUUGAUUUCGCCUAAUAGGGACAAAGCAAAGUAGGGUGGUCAAGUACAGUAUGCCUGGAGUUCGUAGUGCCCACUAGAUAUCAUUGGCAAGUUAUAGAAGUCUUUCUCUCUUCUGAGAUAUCAUUGGUCAGUGCAGCGAGGGGCAACCAUCAUUUGUAUUGCUCUGUAAAGAAAAGAUAGGACAAGGGUCUUGCUCCACCCAAUGGAGAUAAAGCACGGGGAUCCGUUAAGGGCGUAUUGAAUCGAUAAGAAGCACUUGAAUUCUAGUGGGCCCGGCUACCCAACACUAGCCCCGGAUCAUUUAUGUAUUAUCAAUUGAUAGUAGGUUUUAAGAUAGCUUAGCCCUUGCUAUGAUUCAAUUUGUAUUGGAGAAGAGGGGCGCCAACCCUAUGGGGAAUGUAGCUAUGUUGUACUUCUUCCUACUAGCUACGGUGCAGCACCUGUUCCUAGCUACGAUGCUGCUCCUGUCCGCCCCUUGAUUUAUCACCGCUUUGGUCUUUUAUUGGUCAUUGAUUUAUAGACGGGAGGAUAAGUACCCUGGCUCGACCCCAGAUAUCGAUUUAGCAUUCCAUUAUCGGAUCUCCGAAACGGGAAACAAGAAAAGUAAUCGAAAUCGUGUGCCAGCGGGACAUACGAAAUUCACACUUUUUGACUCUCAAUCCACAGGUGGAGAUACCAGGGGUGGGUUUUCAUGGCCUAUAGUCUCCCCUGCCGACGAAGCACGAACUACUUGUUGAAAUCGCGGAUCCAAAUCUUGCAUUUCUCCUUUACUCGUCAAAGGCCUCGUAUUGUUAUUCCCAUGAUUCAUGUGGGCUAUCUGCUCUUUAUUGUAGGGUCCUACUCCCACCUAUCCUUAAAAAACGAUGUGAGUGGCUCAUACUAAUCAACUGUACAAGUAACUGACCCUUAUCAAGCUUUCCACACAUAGUGUUUUGAUCUAAGAUUGCAAUUCUUCCAUGUUUCCGCAGUAGCAUAUUGUUCCAUGGAGCUAGGGUCCAAAAUAGGAAUCAAUAAGUGUUUCCACGACUCUACCGCCCGGCCAAUCCUGUUCCACUGAAUCCCCUCCCUUUUUCAUGGCAACAUAUCUUUAUGGCUAAGGAGUGGGAAAUCUUUCUCCUGUUACACAAAUCAAAUGUUUCAUUUCAUCCGGGAAAAGCCACCUCUUUCUCCACAAACAAUGUCUUUGUCAUUUGAUCCAGUUUUUAUCCGUUAGAUAGGAACAACUUUGCUAAAUACUGAGAACUCUCGGAUAGAGUAUUAGAAUGAAAAGACCAUUAAUUAUAUAAGGAAGAACCCAGGGUUCUAGCCCAUUCCCAUUCCUAAUUCAAUAAUUCGUAGUGCUUUUGCCUUUCUUGCGUACUCCUGGUGAACCAGUUGCUAGCCAUAUGUUUAGGAGGCUAUUUUCUCCUAUUAAAUAAGAUUCUUAAGCUUAAUAAGCCCAAAGAUCGAAAAGUACGGACCAUUUUGAAAUAAAACCGGACCAUUUGUAAAUCAAAAUAGAAAAAGAAAUCUAGCUACUCUCUUCUCUGUCGCCUUCAGAAAAAGAAAGCUAAGGCAAUUGGUGUUGAAGAAACAAAACCACACCGAACCAGUCAGGAGUUUUCAGAGAUUAUGCCCAGCGUCACAUGACACCACUUCACUUUAUGCAACACGAGGAACCGAUCAAGAAAGACGAAGCAGACAUGCACAAGUUCAAGAGCGAGGUCAGACAAGCAUGUAUCAGAACAGCAACGUGAUCAAGGCUGCAGCUGCUGCUGCGAGGACUAACGUCACAAGGGAAAUCCGGCAGGAACUGAAGGCCACCGAUCCCGACCGAUCGCGCGGCAUGGACGUCGAAAGCUCCUCCAUAGUCGACGGGGGCACUUCACUUGUCCUGGGGCGGCAGCAGCACAGACAUGCACAACUGAUUUCAAUUAGUACACACGAAGUAUGAUCAACGAUUCCGCAAAGAUAUUAAUUCCAGUGUAGUGUUCAAACGAUCAAAUGGAUGAGAUGAUCAACGAUUGCUCAGAUUAAAAAACUAGAAGGUACAAUUACAACUUAACAGAUCAGUGCACUCAGAGUUUGAGAAGACUAUAUAUGUAGCAUCCGCAUCACCAGGACACUCGAUACUGUAAUUAGUAGGCAGUUACAAGUUAAUAGAACAGAUGCUGCGAGUAGAAGAAUUGAAUCAAUAAUCAGUUUUAUCAUACAAUCAAGUUUGAAUCUGUAUUCCUAUAGCCCUAUAGCAGCAUAUAACAAGAAAUGGAGAGAACACCGCAAGUGAAAAUAAAAAAAUUCCGUUUUGUUGUGGGCAGAUGAGCAGGGAUCAUAUGGUGCGAAAGCCGAAAUGGCCAAGAGUCUCUGAAUGGCAUUAGUGGCCGCAGAUUCACCGAAUUACUAGACAAGCAGGAAAACGUUUACCUGGAGACAUUUUAGGCGUGGGAGGUGAGUCAGGUGUGAAAUGCAUCUCAGGAAGCGACUUGAGCCCUGUUUCAAAUGGGGGGAAACAAAUAAAUGAAAAAAUAAAAUUGGUACAUUCAAAAGAACUGCUCAACUGAUCAGUAAUCAUGACUAACCAUAGCAAAAAAGCACAGUAAUAAUAUCCCUAAUAUAGAGUAGCAUCUAGAGCUCGCUGGUAAUCCGCAUCUACCACCAACCAUCACCAAUGUAGCUUCACAAGGACUCACAAGAACAAGGAUAGGAGCGCAUAAACUUAUUUUGUAACUUGUUUGGUGAUCAAGAACACGCGCAUAGGGAGCACAAGAAUCGAUCGAAGCAUAUACUCGCCAUCAAGAAGGGACAAGUUUCUCCCCCCGGCCCUACUCCCCAACCAACCCACCGAACUAACUCCAUACGUUCAUCAUCAUACAUUGCGUACCGUGCAUUUUUCCUCUUCCUUCCAUACUGUGCACGAGGCCUUUGGCUACUCAAUUUAUUUUCUUUUGCUGCUUCUCUAUUCUACAUAGACCCGGCAAUCUCCCUCCGACAAAAGCAUACUUUUUGAGUACUCUAAAGAAAUAUAGCCCGUUGGGCCGGCUUUAGGAUUAUGCUUACUCCUACUGUGGAGAAAACCAGAGGAGUCCGACUACCAUUUCUUCGUAUGAAGUACGUACUUGUUCUUCACCGUGCAAGCUCUACAGGUUUCGGAAUCCGAGGCCUUCAAGUUCAACCGUAGACGUAGAAGCAAACCGGUACUUAAGCAUCGAGCGAAUGAGAGACGAGUGAGACGCCUUUAGCUCCUAGAAUGCCUUCUUCAACUUUGCUAUACGCAAUUCGUGCGCCAAAUAGAACUGCUAGACUACGUCGAGUUGUGACCACUCAUGCCUCUAAAGAGCGAGGCAAAGGGUAACACUAGGGCGGAGCUCCACCUUUUGUUCUUCCAGCUCGGACUCCUAAACUAGAAACUAUAUAAGAGGCAUGAGAUGAUCAGGUAUGUGCACUAAAGCUCGACAUGAUGAAAGCUUAUGAGAACUUCACUGCUAUAGCUGAUACGGGAUCUAAUGACUUAUUUCUUAAAAUAGGGUUUUGUGACUACCGAAAGUUUCUCUUUUCAUGACACAGGGGGGGUCUCUGUGGCCCUAGUUUCUUUGGCCCAUUUGAAAUGAGCUACGAAUAGGUCCUACUUCAGACAAUCCUUCGUUGUCCCUUCAGAGGAGAUGAGUGGGAUGACGAAUGAGUUCUUUAAACAUCUCUAUACUGCUGAAGGUACUGAAAGAAUGGAGGAUGUUCGUUCUGUCGACAGUUCCUCGGAAAGUAUCUCAGGCAAUGAAUGAGCAAUUGACUGCGCCCUUUACUGGUUCUGAAGUGUGACCUUUUUAAGAUGUACCCUGAAAGGCCCCUGGCCCGGACGGCUAUCCAGCCCACAUUUUUUCAGCGAAGGUGGGAUUUCUAUGGUGAUGAGGUUAGUGACUUCAGUUACCUUCUCGGUUCUUUUCAAUGGGGAGCGUCUUGAGCAAUUCAAACCUUCUCAGGGACUACGCUAGGGAGAUCCAAUCUCUCCGUACUUAUUCUUGUUAGCAGCAGUUUAGGUAUUUGAAAUAGCGAAAUACAUAAAUUAUCUAUCUCAAGUACGUCUCGUACUUAUCUUGAGCCAUCAGUCAGAUUGAAUGCAGCGCCCUGCCGGCAGCUCCUGACCUCUGUUCCUAUGGGGGAAAGAAGGUGUGGCUUUGGACCCCAAACUCUUCCAUGACGCCCUUCUUCUUAUAGCGUGGGUAAGUGAUCAAUACAGAAAAAAUCACACCCAUUGGAUCCAUCCUGAUAUGAUUGGGUGAUUUGCACGUUCCCUUAAGAACAAGCACACACACACUAAAUCCUGAAAAGAAAGAUAGAUGCUCAUCUUCACACUGAUAGCAGCAGGCUCACUACGUACGUUGUCCAACCCACCUCGUAAGACAUCUUUCCUCGGAUAGCCAAGCGAAAGAGGAGGUCUCAAGCGUGCAAAAACACAUGUAUGAGCAGGAAAAGAUGUGCAAUCAAGCUUAGAGACUGCAGAUAACAGAUCUCUCAGGCACCGGUUUCCCUCAGUUCAGGAAGGGAAGCGAGCUUUCAAGGGUCCCAGGAUAAAAAAGGUAAUUAAUAUGUCUCCGACCGAAGUGAUAGAUAAAGGCCUUACCCAUUGGCAAGGAACGCUUGGAGGAGUGAAACAACGAUUCCGCCUAGCGUAGGACACGUAUAUUUGAUCCAAUCUAGCAAGCGUAGCCAGCCCCACCCACGGGUGAAAUUGUACAGCUCCCUAUCUCGUUGAAAGCCCCUUUGCUUACGGAAGAGAAGAGUUGGAUGCCGUGGUGGGAAAGCUCCCGUUUCAACUUUGCUUCUUGUAAGCUUCGGUAUAAAUAGCUCACUUGCGGGAUCUAAUCUCAUUCUAUGGGAACAGCUUUCAUUUCUAUCUUUUGGCUUAAAGUGGUGAACAAAUCCUUUCUCUUCACUUUUUGUGCUCCGCAUGGCUCCGGUCAAGAUGUGACUCAUCCUGUAUAUACAUAAUUAGGAGACCUCUCACGAACUUGUUAAAGAAAGGAGUACCAUUUGUGUGGACAAGCCAAAGCAAUCCUUUGAUGUUCUCAAGCAAGCUUUAAUUGAGGCCCCUGUGUUGGUUCUCCCUGAUUUCAGUAAAAGAUUUGUGCUAGAGACAGAUGCCUGUGGGCAUUGGAGCUGUGAUAAGGGGUAGAAGUAUUCGUGUGGGGUGGGUUUCGAAGGGAAGGUUGCACAAUAGAUCGGAGAUCCUUUGAGGAAGACUGAAAUGACUAUACUUAUAGAAUGGUCCAUAUCGAACAGAUACGAUACUGGUUUACACAGAGAAUAUCGCCUAGCUCUAAAACGGCAGCACCUGAGUGCAACUUCGAGUAAGAAAGAACGACCUUCUGCUACCUUUUUACCAGGGAAUUGUUUUAACAACUUUAGCUGAUUGAUCUACGAAUGGAGGGAUUCAAGCUUAUUUUUGUUAACCGAGAUGCAAACGACUAACAAACUGGAUUCGAAGCCACCUGUCGUAAUAGUACCUGCGGGUUCUUUCUGUGGAGCCUUCAAAUGCAAUAGCUAGCUGCCCAACGGCCAAUGCCACAGGCAAAUCUCCAUUUUCCAACUUAUACAACUCUUUGGGGUCCAAAGAUACUCGCCAUUGCAACUUAAUAAAUAGGACCGGUGGGAUCGCCUUCAACGGAUAUAUCGGUUUCACUGCUUUCGUACCCUUUGUUUUGGUCAUGUGGAUGACCCGCAGACCGUAGAUAAGAUGGAUACCCACGUACUGCCAUCAAUGAAGAGACUUUUACCAAGGACCCUUAGAUAGAUAGGGGGGACAGACAAGAGGUAUGCAACCUGCUGAAUAUUGUCACCGAAUCGCUCACUGACAAAUACUUGGGGCUCCCCUCCCUGGUAGGAGUGGAUAGGAGCGACUGCUUCCAACACUUAAUUGAGAGAGUUUGCACUCGGAUUAAUGGCUGCAAAGAGAAGGGCUAAUUGGCUCCGCCAUGGAGACCGAAAUACGAGCUUCUUUCAUCACAUCAUUUUGCAACGGAGAAAAAAGAAGAACAUAAUAAAGUUUCUGAAUGACUCAAACGGCAACAGGAUCGAAGGUAAUGACCAGUUAGCAUCUCUUAUACAGGGUUACUUUGAGGGACUGUUCACCUCAGAAGUCCUAGCUCCCGACCCUGGGCUACUGGGGAAAGUAAACAGGCGAGUAACUGAAGAAAUGAACGCAAGCCUCUUGGCUCCAUUCACGGCAGAUGAAGUAAAGGCAGCACUCUGAAUUCAAUCGAGAGUUAGGUACAGUAAUCUUCAGAUAUGACAAUACCUCCCCCAAAGCAUUGUCAAGUGUUGGAAUUAGGGCACCAACCACGAAUAGGAGCUGUAUAGAACUCCGGAAAGAGACCUUUGAUGAAGUCGGCAUCCUCCCAAGUGGCAUUUGCUUGAUCCAAACUAGCCCACUUCCUUGGUUGCUGAAAAACCAUGCAACGCAAGUAAUUUUCCACACACUGAUUCACACGUUCUGUCUGGCCAUCUGAUUGUGGGUGAUAGGCAGAGCUAAACCUCAAUUUCACUUGUUGUGCUUUGAAGAAGGCCUGCCACAUGUUAAUUGUGAAUAUCCAGUUUCUAUCAGAGACUAUUGACUUUGGCAAUCCAUUCCACUUGAAAACAUUAUCCAUGAAAGCAUGAGAGACUGAUUGUACUGUAUAAGGGUGAGCAAGGGGAAUGAAAUGAGAAUAUUUAGUGAACCUGUCCACCACCAACAAUAUGACUUCUUUGCCCAAUGAUUUGGGAAGACCCUCAAAGAAAUCCAGGGAGAUGUCAGUCCAAGCAGAAGUAGGUAAUGGCAGUGGAUCUAGGAGACCAGGGUAGUGGCAAUGCUCUCCCUUGACUCUUUGGCAAACUGCACACUCAUGUAGAAAAGUUUCAAUCUCCUGGCCUGGCGCCAAUAAAAUCGCUUUUUUACCCUUUGAUAAGUAGCCACAAUGCCUGAAUGGCCUCCUAUGGGAGAGUUGUGAAGUGAAUCAAUGAUUUGGUGUUUAAGAACAGCAUCUGAUCCCACAUAUAUUCUUCCUUUAUAUCUCAAAAUGCCAGAAUGAAGAGUAUAAGGGGGUGCUGCAUUGGCUGAUAUAGUGAGCUUCUCAAGCAGAGAUUUGCAGUGAUCAUCAUUAGUGUAGCUGGUUUCUACAGUUGAAGCCCAAGCAGGAGUAACUGCAGUGACUGCCAUCAUAAGAGAAUCUCUUCUGCUCAAAGCAUCUGCAACCUUGUUUUAUUUUUUUUGUAUUCAAUCUUGUAAUUGAAUUCAAGCAAUUUUCACAUAAGCUUGUGCUGGAUGCCCUUAGAGACUUUUUGUUCUGUGAUGUAUUUAAGGCUCUGUUGAUCAGUUUUGAUCAAAAAAAGAAUUGGGAACCAAGAAAGUAGUGGCGCCAUCUCUUCAAGGAUUCCAAAAUAGCUAAAGCUUCUCCUUAUCAUAAGUUGACAUAGCUGCAUUUCUGGGUCCAAGGGUUUUACUGAAAUAAGCAAUUGGUCUGCCUUGUUGCAUGAGGACAGAACCAAUACCUUGACCUGAUGCAUCUGUUUAAAAAGUAAAUGGUAGGGUCAAAUCAGGCAAAGCCAUAAUAGGAGCAGUGACCAGACAAUUAUUCGAUGUUGUGAAGGCCUCAAUUUGAGCAUCUGACCACUGGAAUGAAUCUUUUUUUAGACAGUCAUGAAGUGGCCUAGAAUUGAUCCCAUAAUUCUUGACAAAUCUUCUUUUUCUGCAGCCAUACCAAGAAAACUCCUCAACUGAGUGAUGGUCUUAGGUGCUGGCCAUUCUUUGAUGGCAACUAUUUUGUGGGGGUCUGUAGAUAGACCCUAUCCUUAGAUAACAUGCCCUAAAUACUCCACUUGAGGGACAGGAAAACUGCAUUUGCUAAUCUUAGCAUAUAGUUUUUAUGACCUUAGAAUGUCCAGGAGUAACUUUAGAUGCUUGAUAUGAGCUUGUUUGGUCUUGCUAUAUAUCAGAAUAUCAUCAAAGAAUACCAAAAUGUAUUUCCGGAGCAAAAACAUGAUUCAUUAAAGAUUGGAAGGUAGCAGGUGCAUUAGUGAGUCCAAAUAGCAUCACUAAGUAUUCAUAAUGACAAAAAUAUGUCCUAAAAUUUAUGAAUGUCUUCUCUUCUCAUUCUUAUCUGAUGAUAACCUGAUCUCAAAUCAAGUUUGGAAAACAGUUGUGCACCAUGUAGCUCAUCUAAUAGAUCCUCAAUGACAAGAAUAUUGAAUUGAAUUUCUGCACUUAACCCGAAAGCAAGUUUGAAAACAAGACCUGCUCUGUGAAGUGAUGGAAGUAGUGAAGGUUUAGGCUUCGGAUCUGUGAAGUUCAGGUUUUGGAGUAGAGGUCAGAGGCUAGUGCGGGUAGCCCUGUCGGAAACUAGAAAGAAGAGGCUGAUGCACCUGCCUGGCGGUGGGUGGGUUCAGCUCGAUCAACUGGCAUAGGAGUUUUUUCUCUAUCUUGCUCCAUGGUGUUCAAGCAGUGCGUCCAGAAAGCUGUGAUUCAUGGGAGGGAGCAGCUUCAAUAGCUUUGGCUGUGAAAACUCUUGGUCUUGGAGCAUCAGUGUCAUCAGUUCACCCAAGAUCCGCAGGACAAAUAACUACUAGGUUUGUGCCAGAAAAGCGUCUUGCGUGACGGGGAAAGAGUGGAAAAACAAAGAGAUUCAUCAGCUAUGGAAUCUGACAGGUAUCGGUAUUGAACAGAGGGGGCUGUUCACAAAGCAUCCCAUGGAUGGUAAUGGUGCUUCCCCAGCUGCUGUUCCUACUCCUUUGGCUGGUGCCAAAUCAGGUGACUUUGAAGUUGAAGCUUGCCCGCAGAACGAUGUAACCAUGCUGGUAGUACUAUGAUUGCCUUAGAGCGCAGAUGUCUCUGUCCCUAGGAACGUGAUGCUUAGGUGCAAGGUGAAACACAAGCAGGAGAUCGAGAAAAGAAAUCAUACGGAUUGCAACCUACAGAUGAAGAAUCUGCUUCAUUGUUCCGACCAUCUAUAUCAGAUGUUUAAUAAGAAUAGGAAUCAAAUAAGCUGCUGAUUGACUGAGGAAGCAUUUGAAAAGAAAGGAAGGGUGAUGCUUGUUAAACAAAGCUGCGUGUGGGGCCGCCACGUAUAGCUGUAGUUUCUGCUGUAGCAUCGGUCGGUCAUUUCCGUUGUUGCUGUAGUAGCAUCGAUUAUUGCUCAGGUUACGAAUGACCCAAUCUAUCUAUGGCAACCACCCCUACUUUUAGUAGAUGGAGAUGCGCACCUAGAAAAGACGGAUGAAAGAGAACCUGCCCUUCUGACUUCUUCUCUUGUCUGUCCUUUACGCAAAGCGAUCUAUGGUCUCAACAAGCCCCGAUAGCGUCGGUUUUUGAAGUUCAGCACAGUGGUUAUGUUAUCCAGGCAGGGUUUGCUCGGAGUGAUCAUGAUUCGGCCAUGUUCGUAUCAGUUUAUCCUCGAGGACGUGCUAUUCUGUUGUUGUAUGUUGAUGAUAUCAAACUGACUGGUGAUUACUCCGUUACCAUAUCGCUGAUCAAGUGUCGCCUUCAUCAAUUAUUUGCUAUGAAGGCGCUGACGCGCCCUAAGCCUUUUCUUGGCUUGGAGGUCGCACAUUCUCCUCGUGGAUAUUUGGUAUCUCAGAUCAAAUAACGUCAUGACUUGAUCACUCGAGCUCAACUCAAUGAUGAGAAGACUGUUGACACUCCCUUGGAGCUUUACGUUAAACUCCAUCCGACUGAUGGCUCACCAUUAUCUGAUCCGAUGCAGUACAGACAGUAGGUCGGUAGUUUGGUUUAUCUGACGAUCUCUUGCCCAGAUGGCUUUUCCUAAGAAAGUCAGCCUUUCAUGGCUGCCCCCCGGUCAGUUCACUUUGCAGCAGUUUAUCGGAUUCUUAGAUAUAUUCGAGGUACCUUUUCUCGAGCCAUCCUUUUUUCCGUCAUCGUCUUCUUUAGAGUUGCGUGCAACUACUGAUGCCAAUUGGGCCUUCAGAUAGGUGCUCAACUACAGGCUUAUCUAUUUUAUGGGGAGACGAGACACUAUCUUGGAUGAGAUAAAAGCAAUAGAUAGUUGCUCCUUCCACUGCCGAAGCGGAGUACCGUGCCAUGGCACACUACUAGAUAGAUUGUAUGGCUCCGUUGGUGACUUUCUGAUCGCGGGUUUCAUUUGAACAACCCCAACGCCAUUCAUCUUGCGUCAAAUCCGGUCUUUCAUGCAAGAGUUUCAUUUUUGGCCGCUACUACGUUCGUCGAAAACUUCUUGAUGGCACCAUCAUCUCAUUACCUUAUUUUUUCCCUUCGACUUCGGCUAUGACCAAUGCCCCACCUAGCUGAAUAGGCGUAACAAAGCUACCUGAAAAAGGCAAGGUGCACCUUAGAUUGAAAUCGACAAAUUGCGUUUUGCCAGAUGGAUUCUUUAGAAAGAUUCCCGGAUAAAGUUCAGUAUAAUAUUUAGUUAGAAUCUAAAUAAAGGCGCAUACGUGGGCAGGCAGGGGGCCCCACUACUUCUUCAUUCAGGGGGGGGGCUAGCCUCAUGACUUCCCACUGGGCGAGGGGUGCACCUAACCCACCUACUCACUCAUCAAUUACGGUGUUCAGCUGACUUGCACAGAAAGACCCCUAUUGUUUAGUAAUUUGGCGCCCCAUCUUUUGAUUGACUGUUGUCAACUAAUCUUUUCAAUGUUCAAUUCUACUCUAUGUUAGAACAUUUCUGUGAAUGCUAUUUCGAUCUAAGUGGUCCUAUUCUCUGUCCGUGCUAGGAAGCAUUACUCCUCUUUUCAUUCCAAAUUCUUCAAUAAGACCGAUACGAUUGAUUGGUCUGUGCGUUUCUCUUAUUACUUUUUUGUAUCCCCCUGUUUCUCGGAUACAAUUCGAUCCUUCUACGGCCAAAUCUCAAUUUGUGGAAAGCCUUCGAUGGCUUCCUUAUGAAAACAUCCAUUUGUAUAUGGGUAUAGACGGUCUUUCAUUAUUCUUCGUGAUAUUGACCACAUUUCUGAUCCCUAUUUGCAUUUCAGUGGGUUGGUCUGGUAUGAGCAGUUUUGGGAAAGAGUAUAUUACAGCAUUUCUAAUUCGUGAAUUUCUAAUGAUCGCCGUGUCCUGCAUGCUGGAUCCUCUAAUAUUCUAUGUUCUUUCCGAAAGCGUGCCAAUCCCUAUGUUGUGCGGAGCUGAGCAUCUUCUAUUCGCUGGGAUCAAGCUUUUCCUCUGCAGGGGCCUUGUGCAGUAAACCCCCUACGGGCGGUCCCCCGUCAUCGUAAAGUAGUAAAGGUCCCCGCGAAGCUUUCGGGAAGAGGGGUAGUCUUGUGCGUAAGCAUAGCAUUUCUGGUCGAACCACCGAACCACACAUCUUUUUUUGGUGGGAGGGUACUCCGAGUAGUGGGUACCUCGUAGGACCUCGACCCGCCUACUCAGGUCUUUUAUGGAUAUGCAGGAAGGGGUGCUCCUAGGUGUGUGUAGGGGGUGUGUUUGUUCGCGAGAAUGUAUUCCUCGUCAAGUCAGGGGGGUGUGGACACACUUGCGCGAAUUCGGGUAACGGCUACAAGGGAUAAAAAUAAAGGAAACUGUACCCGACCAGGGAUGGACGUAAACUCGUAAGCUACCGAGGGUAGGGAUAAUCGUCCAGGUCUUAUUUAAAAAAAGCCGCCCCGCCACUGCAGGCAGGUUAGUUCCUCUGUCGUUGCCGGAGAGUUCUUGGCGAAGAGACCUUAGGAUAAGUUGCUAAAACAAACGGAGGGGAGGAUCGACCCAUUCAGUAGAAUUCCGAAGAAAGACUGUUGGCAGCAGGUGGAGACAUUUCUUUGGCCCCCUUCCAAAUAAAUGCGGGCAGGGUAGAGCUCGGCAGAGGGUUCGAGAAUAGGGUAGGGUUUUUUACGGUCGGGUCCCCUACCACUAGUCCGGCUAGCCUUCUUUCGGGCAGGAAGCAGGCCUAAACGACGGGCGGGCAUCUCCCGCUACGCAAGCAGCAUUGUUCGCCACCACCCGAGAAGCAAAAGAUUCUAGAGUCAAGGCGGAAAAGACAAGCAUAGUGGUCGAAUGACAAGGGCCGACGACGGAAGCUCGGGACGGAGCCGUAUGAUGCGGAAGUCUCACGUACGGUUCCCUGAGAAGGGAGUGGCUACCCACUGGAGCUUCGACCAACUACCACCGGUCCGCUUUGGGGCCACCCCUGACUCUACCAUCAUUAUAGGGGUAUGGGGUUCGAGACAAAGAAAGAUCAAGGCAGCAUAUCAGUUUUUCCUAUAACUUGGAUCUGUUUUUAUGCUAUUAGCUAUUCUGUUGAUUCUUCUCCAAACAGGAACCACCGAUUUACAAAUUUUAUUAACCACUGAAUUUAGUGAGCGGCGCCAAAUCCUUCUAUGGAUUGCUUUUUCGCCUCUUUUGCCGUCAAAGUGCCUAUGGUACCAGUUCAUAUUUGGUUACCCGAAGCCCAUGUAGAGGCACCUACGGCUGGAUCCGUCAUCUUGGCUGGAAAUUCUUUUAAAAUUGGGAACCUACGGGUUUUUAAGAUUUUCAAUACCCAUGUUUCCCGAAGCGACACUUUGUUUCACUCCUUCCAUUUAUACUCUAAGCGCGAUUGCUAUAAUAUAUACUUCCUUGACCACUUUAAGACAGAUCGAUCUUAAGAAGAUCAUUGCCUACUCCUCAGUAGCCCAUAUGAAUUUGGUGACUAUUGGUAUGUUUAGUCGGGCGGCGGCCGUUAGGUCACCUAUUUUGAGUUAUGGACACACAAGCAAGGCCAAAACAUGUGUGCCGGGCGUGCGACCCAUCAACCUACUAGCAAUAGGGGAGAAAACUUAGCAUGUCGCAACAAAAGCGUCGAUUCGAGGCGUCAGCAAAACACCGCCGUCUGUUCCUAAAACAAAACCCCUUAGCGCCCCGGGACGGGAGUGGGGGACGGCCCUACGCAGACAGCAGCAGCACCGGCUCUACGAAGUCCGAAUCGAAUCUUUCGGUUGGCUUUCCCGUGAAUAAGAAUUGUUGGGCGCGGUGAAGCGAGCGCUUCUAGCUGUUUCGCUUGCUUCUUUCUUAUUGUGGCGGCUAUUAUGGCGUGGCUGAAAUGAACGAAAAGCGAGAUGAUUCAAAUCGAUUGAUAGAUGGCCUGCUCUGUUCUGAUAGAUCGAAAGGUUUUCUAUCAAUAAUAAGGGUUGACCUCUUUCUAUCUAUUGAUGAUACAAGAUAUCUAUCUAUUCUGGAUCCAUCAGAAAGAAAUCGAUAUGUAUCUGAUUUUUUUCUACAUCGUAUGUAGAGCGCCCAAGCGUUUGGCCAGCUCAGUUCUAUUAUCCAUCGGUCCAAUGCACUGGCUCAUCUCAUGGAGGGAAAAAGCAAAUGUAGUUAGUUGUCUUGUUGUUGUUCGCCGCCUCGACACAUUCCCCGGCAUCGUCCCACACAGAAAGAAAGAGCGUGGAGCCCCGGCCCAACCUGUAAGUCCGCUAACGUAAAGCGAGGAGUUGAGCCUGAACUGGCGAACCGAAGUCACUUUCGUAACCAUACUUCCUACAGCUAACACGUGCCCAGUCCAGCGGGAACGCGAAGCGCAAACGAACGUCAGCUGCUAUACCGAAUCCCCCGCUGGCCAUCGGGGACCUAGUGGUAAGGCCAUGAUCCGCAGGGGAAGGGAUCACUCAUUCUUCUAUUGGGGACAGGUGCACGAACAACAACUCCAAACGUCAGACAUCCGCCGCCUAUACCUACCGUUUAGGUGGCACCAGCGAGAUCCAGCUAAGGUAAGGAACUUCGUGUCGCGGCUGCUCCACUCCGCUGCGGUCUUUUGAACUGAACUUCGUUGCCUUCCCGCGCGCGAAACGAAUGGGUGCUGUGUCGUGGGUCAGUUUUGGGGCGGGGGGCAGAGAGAGACCAGAAGAAUGAUUCAUUUGGAUCGACGAGCCAUUUCGCGAAUCAAUAGAAUGUCUCUCUAUCCAUAUCUAUUCUAUCUUUAUAUGACGGGCCAUAAAAAAAGAAGUAUUUUUUAUGGCAUGCGGGAUGAUCGCGCCUAGUAGCCACAUAUCAGCUGCGCUCAAUAUGCGGGAUUUCCGUUGGAUCAGAUCUUUCGCUUUGACUAAUUUGGACCUAGCGAAAAGGACUCUAAGCCUUCGCGCAAACAAGCAAAGUAGAAGCAAGACGAGGAAGCAGAGCUGUCGUAGAAGCAGUAGCUUCCCCCGACAAUAUACAAUACAACAGUAGCGACCAUGAAUAAAAAAGCCCCUUGUUUAACGAGUUCGCUGCUUUUCCCAGGCCGGAGAAGGGCAACUACUUAUUGAUUGAUCGCCUUUCUUUGAUAUGUGUUCAAUUUAGUACAAUACAAACUACAACUAGAUCAAAGCGGAAGGGCCACUCACUAUAGAAGCUAUAACUAGAAAAGCCCUAGCCAAUAGUUUAGUAGUCGGCCAAACCCCCAUGCUCACGACAUGUUCUUGAUAUUGAUUGAGUUGGAGGGAGUCAGAGACUACCACGGAAUCCUUCCAUAGUCACCCCGGUGACCUUCGUCACCAAAGCGUCACGACAGUUUCCAAGACCCCUCAUAUAAUCUCCAGUGGGGAUCAGUCGGAGCACGUAGGAAUGCCGACCACUUCAUAAGCCGCUGGCGGAGAAAGCUCGAAGAGCUUCCCUUCAUUCGCUUCGCGGGAGUCGCACACAGCACAUAGCUGGAAGUCAGAGGGCCCGUACUACCUACCUAACCCUUCGCCCCGAGGGACCGUAGAACAGAAAGCGCCUUCUAAACAACUCGGCAGAAGGGAAGGGGCCUAUGUAUUUGCAUGACCCCUGCGGAUUUGACCCUACCUACACCCGGAGCCAAUCCCCUAGCGGUCCUGCCACCACGCCGCCGAACAGGAGCUCGUGUGGAACCUUGGAUUUCUGGCGUAACAGCGGUGGAAGGUAUCAAAAUAUUACGGCCGCAUAACAUAGUAUAUACGCUAAGGUCGGCCAAAAUAUGGACACCCGAAGGGCCCGGCGCGCACAAUCCGAUCCUAUCCGAGCCCGUCAUUGCAUGCACUUCGGACAGCCGUCCGUAGCAUCAUAAGGAGCACCUCCCUUUCGAGGUACCCAAAUGGAACGGUCUUUAUUUGUGUUGUUGGUUGGUCUUUCUCAACGUGGUCUAUAGCACGAAAAACCAUUCUUUACAAGAUAGGGCCGUUCACAUGAAAUAAAAUACAAAAUCCAUUCUUCAUGGUCGGGCGCAUUUCUCCAAAUCCUCCAGGAUCACAAGUGGAACGCUAAGCAAGGGUGGGGAGGCUGCGAGCUCCGUGUCGAACAGAAAGAAGCAAGCAGGGGGUGUUGCCGUAGCGCGCUGGAGAGCAAGCGUAGGCAACCAAACUAAAUAAGGCUACAAAAGUACCUAGCUAGCGUUUUUAAGCUGGCUGCCUUUUCUAGCACGCGUACUCUUCUGUGGAGUCGCACGGAACGAGCCUUGUCUUCCCUCCAACGACUAGCUCCCUUUUCUUGUUCCGGUCACCCUUCUCUUGCCGUGGAAGGACUUUUGCCUGUGGUGUGGUCCAACCCGUGGGCGGAGUCGCCCUCAUCCCCCCAUUGCUCAGUGCCCCCUGCAGCUUCGCUGGGCUUUACCCGCGUGGGCGCGGGCUUCUAUAAGAGAAUGAAAAGCUCUCUUUUUACAAUAAAACGCGAACCGCGCGGAGCCCACCCUUUUUUGUUUUCUGCCGCCACUGGGUGGCCGCAGGGGAAACACAGCCCGGCCGCCUCUCGGGAAAGGGGGGGUGGGCCUACCUAUCCCGAGGGAGCAGCUGAGAGGUUCCAUAUGCCGAGCCGAAGGGCAGAACUUCAGUGCGUGAUCGCAGUAUGUCACCUCGUCUCGUCCUCGCAGCAUCGAAGAGUACCUAUGCACUAUGUUCCGGUUCACUGAUAAGGAAGAUAGAGUUGGGGUGGGGGUCUACGAUGUGAUACUAUAGUAUGCCCCGGGGAGAAAGAUGCGCAACUCAAAACGGAAGCAGGAAGCGUGUUGUCAAAAAUGUCGGAGGUUACCAGAUCUCUGAGACUACCAUCGAUCCGACAGAGCAGAACGACCAGAAAAAGAAGUGGAGUUAGAAAGCCGUAUGAUAGGUGGUAACUAUCUUGUACGGUUCGGGGGGUAAGCGGCGUACUCUGGGGGAAUAUUAGGCUCUAUCGAACAUACAGGGAAUUGGAGGUAGCAUUUUACUUACGUUAAGUCAUGGACUGGUUUCUUCAGCCCUUUUUCUAUGUGUUGGUGUUCUAUAUGACCGACAUAAGACUCGACUUGUUAGAUAUUAUGGAGGUUUAGUGAGCACCAUGCCGAAUUUCUCUACCAUUUUCUUCUUUUUCACUUUAGCCAAUAUGAGUUUACCCGGCACUAGCAGCUUUAUCGGGGAAUUUCUAAUCUUAGUAGGAGCUUUCCAAAGAAAUAGCUUAGUAGCCACAUUAGCUGCGCUUGGGAUGAUUUUAGGCGCGGCGUAUUCCCUUUGGCUAUAUAAUCGUGUGGUUUCUGGAAAUUUAAAACCCGAUUUCCUCUAUAAAUUCUCCGAUCUAAAUGGCAGAGAAGUUUCCAUAUUUCUACCUUUUCUUGUUGGAGGGGCGACCGUCCGUUGAACUACCAAAAAAGGGUAAACCAAUGUGAUCAUGACAUUGUAGGUGCUUGCGAUGGGACGGAUGCGACUUCCCUCAUAAGUAAUGGGUGGCAUAGCCCGUAGCAGAAGUCCCCUUUUUUUAUCCAUUUCUUUAUUACCCCAGAGGGGCCCACCCUGGUGGGACCGAGAGAAAGAAAGGACGGGGGGGGCGACCAUGCAUGGCACUUCUCGACCGUGUCUCCGAGGGACAGUUGAACGAGCGACUCAUGAAUGCUGCCGGGUCGGACGAGCCAAUAACUCGAACGUGUUCGGUUAGUUUUUUGAGCAAGAAUCACAGCGUUACCUUACCUUCACCAUGAUACGGACUCCAAGUUCUUAUGGUAGAGCACGAGGAGUUUCCUUCUAUAUGAUGAUGAGAAUGGAAACCAGAAGCACGACUGGGUCUUCGUAGUCCGAGAUCAUACUUAUAUAUCAGUCACAGUAACGUAAGCAUGAGACUUUUUGGUAGUACCGGUGAACCAGAUGGCCGCGGCGAGGGAAUCUGGGACGGAGGACUCGUAAUAUCUCUAUAGAUCUGGCAAAAGCGAAAGACCCCUAACGUCAGGAGCUGACCACUGAGCUCACUCAGGCCCCGCUGGGCGGGCCAGAGUGGGUGCGAGCUGAAAUUGCCAUAGCUUAUGGUUAGAGCAAUAGGAAAGGGCCCAGCAGAGAGAACAGUCAGGAUAACGAGCGCGGAGCCCACUUGGCAAGCGGCAGGAGCAGCGGGCAAGUGCUUGCUUGGUAGGCCAACAGCCCUGUGAACCGGGCGGGGCACUCGACGAAAGGGGGCACGCUGAGCAAGUACGCAAAAUUGGCCCUGCGGAGCUUUCAAAAAGAAAAGCAAGGACCACUACGGGAGGUCGAACCACGGACCGGAGGUAGUAGAACGUGAUCCGCACCGGUCAAUAUUGGAUCAAACAAUAGGGGACCGUAGCACUGACCUUUUUUUUGCAAGACAAUAGGUACUGUUCCCUACCGAGACAAGGGACACUCUCAACGGAUCCUCCACGCGCUAGGCAUACCAUAGUUCUCCCGUGCGUCUUUAUCGUGGCGGAAACAGAACAAGAGGGAAAGACCCGGCCGACUCGCCCAGGGCUCGAGGGCGAGCCAUACGAGAGUGAGUCGAAUUCUGUUUACGUUCUCGGUUUGGGUUCGGGCCCCUCUCGAUCUUUUGCGUAUAAGGGAAGGGGGAAGGAGUCUAAAUCUAUGGACAUUAAUGAACCACCAUUGAUGGACGUUGCACAUGACACGAGAAAUUCGAAUCGACGGUCCGGUGCUAAUAGAAGUUGCUUACUCUCCGUCUAGCGAAGGUGCCAGAUCCUUAAAGUAAAGUAUCUAUCAGCCUAAUGUACCAACCACGUGGUACGACGGGCACUCAAAGACCUGGUGAAUGAGGGCCCACCCCACCCAAGAGCGCUUAUGUCAUAUGGGAACUCUCGGCUGGAAACAAUCCUUAUGGUUUUUAUAUUCGGUUAGAAUAAUAAGAAAGAAUCAAAGUCCAGGUUGGUUGGUGAGCCUAGUGAUAGGAGACUAUCUAGCUUGGUUCGGAGAGCACUUGUUGGGUUUCAGAUUCGUUUUUUGCUAAAUGUUACGGCCUAAAUGCUGAACUAUUGACCCUACUUGUUCGGAUGGGUGUUCACCCCAAAGUGUUCCCGGACUGCAUGCAUACAUCCGUAAGUAACUUAGUGCAACAUGGCAAAUUUCAUUGAGAGGAAUCAGCAAAGAAAAGAAAUCUUCUCCGGGUGAUCAAGUUCCUUUUUCGGUCUGGGCCACGUCUUUGCUUUCUUCAGAGGCCCAUUUUCCUGGGCAUCAGUGAGUGGAAUACUUAACAGUGAUUACAUUCUUAUGUAGAUUCCAUUGCUCGAAUGGGACUUGUUUGUUGGCACCAACCUCAAUAAGAAGCAAGGGAGUGGUGCCGAAGCGAACGGAGCUGCAGAGCCGUUUGUUUACCAAUCCGCCAACUUAAGCUAGGAAAAGUGUAAGAGACCGUGCAUCUUCAUGUAAAUAAAGGUAAAUAAUCUCAGAAACAGUCAAGAAACCGGGAAUUUUUUAUUCCAUUUCUUAGCCAGGGCAAGCCCUACCGACCUACGACCGGAGAAGAUGUUGUGUUGUUCGUAUCACUUGCUAGAGAUAGAGAAGCUAGAACAGGAACUGCCCGGGAGGGUUCAAAGAAUGAGGUCUUCACCUUUGAGCUGGAUCUCAUCUCAUUCUAGCACAUACUACGAGCGAUUGACUUAAAGAAUACAACAAAUGGUUGUGGGGUUAUCUUUGUACCGUGUGACUACAACCACAAGGUCCGAAUCAAGCGAAACGGCUGAGGCGCAAGCCCUUUUCUCACCACUACUCUGUGUACCCAAAGUCAGCAACCUUUUUGGCACGCUGGCUAGCAAGUUCAUUGCUUCAAUGACAUGAAUUCAAUCAAGUGGACAAAUCCUAUCCUGGAAAAUAUGGGCAAUCAGCUGGAAACUCAAUAGUCUUACGCGGAAAGCACUCAACCGGCCUUCCUCUUCUGAAUUAUAUGAAUGACAGAAAUCAGUCCUCACUUGUAUUAACUUCAUGAGUGAAGAGAUAGACAAGGUGGUGAAAAGCAUGAAACCAAAUACUGCUCCAGGUCCAGAUGGCUUCUCUGUUAGCUUUUUAGAGAUUUUUGGCCCCAGUUGAGAGAUAUACUAAUAUAAAUGCUUCAGGAGCUGUAUCAUGGCAGGUUGAACUUGUCCAGACUAAACUAUGGUGUCAUUUCUCUACUGCCAAAGAUUAAGGAUGCUAAUAGUAUCCUACAGUAUAGACCCAUAUGUGUUCUAAAUGUUAUGUUUAAAGCUAUUACCAAAGCUCUGACACUUAGAUUUACUCCUCUGGCUCGACAAGUAAUCAGCUCUCUUCAGACUGGAUUUAUUCCUGGGAGGUACAUUUUGGAUGGAUGUGUAAUUCUUCAUGAAGUUUUGCAUGAGUUGAAAACCUCUCACUCUGAAGGAAUUUUGCUUCAGUUGGACUUUGAAAAAGCUUAUGAUAGAGUUCAGUGGCCUUUCUUGGCAGAGGUAAUGCAUAGGAAAAACUUCCCUGACAGGUGGAUAGAUUGGAGUAGACAAGCAGUGGAAGGAGGCAAAGUGUGUGUGAAUAUGAAUGGAGAUUGGCGAGAAUAUUUCUCUACUUUCAGAGGUUUGAGGCAAGGAGAUCCUCUUUCUCCUUUGCUUUUUCACCUAGUAGGUGAUGCACUAUCUGCAAUUCUGGAUAGAGCUAAGGAAGCAGGUGUGAUUAGAGGUUUGGUACCACAUCUGAUACCAGGGGGGAUUAGUCAUUUGCAAUAUGCUUCUGAUACUUUGCUUUUUUUGCAUAAUGCCAUGGAGUCUAUUACUGGAUUCUAAUUCCUUCUCUACUGUUUAGAGGAAAUGUCUGGCAUGAAAGUCAAUUACUUGAAGAGUGAUAUUUUCACAGUAGGGUUGAGUGUAGAGGAGGAGCAGAGGGUAGCUGAUAUAACUGUGAGAUAGGCAAAUUUCCAAUAAAAUAUAAUAUCUGGGAUUACCAAUCAGCAAAGACAAGAUCUCUUCUAAUUAUUUUUUUUCAUUAAAAGGUAGAAAAGAAGUUGGACUCUUGGCAAUGCAAACAUUUCUCUUAUGGAGGAAGAGAUAUAUUGAUCAAUGCAUGUUUAUCAAAUGUCCCUAUGUACCUUCUGGGUUGCUACGCUUUGCCUGUCAAAAUACAGAAAAAAGUCGAUACAAUAAGAAAUCACUUCUACUGGGAGUAAGAAGAAGAAAUUUCACAUGGUCAUAUGGGAACACCUAUGCACCCCUAAAGAUUAUGGUGGUGUGGGCUUCACUGAUAUGAGAGUCAGAAACAUUUGUUUACUGUCAAAGUGGCUGGAGGAGGUCAAUUAACUACUGGAGCUUACACUGCAGAUACUGCUUAUUAAAGGGCACACAUUUCAAGACACCUUCAAACUACUGAAAUUGGAAAGCAAUGAUGUUAUACUGGGUUAUGAUUGGCUAUAUCGUCACAGUCCAAUCAAUUUAGAUUGGAAGGCCAGAACAAUGAGUAUUUGUCACAAUGGGCAAGAAACCAUUAUUCUUUCUGACCGCAGAAAUACUACUUCUCCAACAUUGUUAGACCCUGAUAAGUUUCAGAAGGAAAUUGAUAAAGGAGCUAUGGGCUACUAUCUUUAUCCCUUAUCUUGUGACUCUGCUGAUACCGAUGAUGAAAAUACUUUGGAGGAACUUAACUUGGUAUAGUGAGCCUAGCAGGCGGCGGGAGUCCAGUACGAUUGCUUGCAUUUCUCUGGAAUUGAACUAGCCCUUGGGAAAGGUAGACGUGAAGGUACCAUGAUUUCUCACUUUAUAGAAGCGUUAGAGCUCGGCUGACACAGUGAUCGAAAGCUGCGCAACCAAAACAACUUGAAACCGCCCAUGCACCUUUUGCUUUUCCUGAUAUCGUCCCUUCGGGUAGUUGGAUAUGAGCACAUUCAAAUUGGAAUUCUUCUGAUCCCAGAUCCAAUAGAAGUUUUGAGGUAAGAGGUACCGUGAGCAGAUUUCUUUGUUCGAUACCCAGUUUUUGAUCUCGCAAGCAAGGAAAUCGAAGAAUAGCUCAGUAUUAUUACAUCUCCCUCCGAUAAUGAGUGGUAGUGAGCUCUGCCCUAGAGAAUGAAGACUCCAAGCAGCAUCUCAGUCUCGAUAUUUGCCUUUUCGGGAGACGACUUGUGAUAAGCAAGUCAGCCAUGUCUUAAAGAAGUAGUGGGAGUGCAUGGUUAUAAAGGAAGGCGCAAGUGUAUUACGGAGCGAAGAAGCUUUAGAGAAAGUUCUACCUCGCGGGUGAAACCAUAGAUUGGAAGGUGUAGGUCACUCACCCGUGUAAACAAAGCGAAAUCAUAGAGCAUAGCUCGUUUGUAAUGCCCCUGUCCGAACUGACCACAGGAUUUAGGUCGUCCCGACCAGUAACAAAGGAGAAAUUCCCCUGCUUGUUAGGAGUUCCUUUAGUUUGCAGUUGAGUGCAGCCGGAUGGUUCUCUCUGUGUAUUCCUGAAAAAGUGAUUGGAGGUUCGUUGCUCACCUUAAGUCAUUAUCAACCAAAACUCAUAGAGAAAGGGAUCCGCAAAACCCCUCGCCAUUACCGUAUGAGCAGGUUUUAAAGCCUGCAAGUUAAGUUGUUGGCUGCUCUUAGCGAUUGAGUGCCAACAUGAGACCUAUUUGUUAGCUUUGAACCGAAAAGGUCCCUCAACCAUAGCGUGAUACGAACCAGUGGCUUCCCUACCGAAACCAAAGAAAUCCUCUGGGCGGGUUCCUUAUCUUUACUUAAUAUGGAACCGAGACCUUGACUUCUUCUUAUCAGACUGAAGAGGGGAACCUCAUGACCCAGGAUACAAGCACUAUUAUCUUCUUAUAAGGGAAGUGAGGUGAUUGUAAGCAAAAGGAGGAGGAAUAGUUUCUCAUACCGAGAUCAAAAACUCAAGCGCCAUCCGUUUCCUAUUUGAUUUCAGAACAGCGGAAUAUCAUCACCCGUGGUUCACUUGAGCAUGAAUAGAGUUCGGUCUCCUUAUGAAUUCAAGUUGGUAAAGAAGUGGACUUCGGAGCUUUCGCUACAACCCCUCCAAGGCGGGCAACUGUCUCAUUUGACACUAGCACUUAAAUAAAGAAAGGUAGGAAGGGCUCCCUCCCUAUAAUGAAAUGGGCUUCUUUAAAUUAUGCAAUACGUUCACCAGUCUCGGAUCUUUAGAAAAAGGAACCAAUCCUAUUUCGGCACUCUUUAGAGGCUAUCGCUCGUUUACCGCAGAUCUCUAUCCCACAGCUGGCUAAUAAAAUCGCCUUGGCAAUGUGUCAAGUCCUUUCAGUCAGAGUUCAACUCUUCAGCGAAAGUGAAAAAUCUACGGUCAUCCAUCCGCGGAGGUAGCCAUGGACUCCAUAGUAUAUGUUGGUAGCUAGCGUACAGGCUUGAUGUGAGGGGGGGUUGUUACCUAUUCUAUUCCCUUGCUUGGAUAAAAACACCCAUCUUUCCGUACGAAAGACACGCAACUAGAGCAACUUGAUAUUACGUAUGUAGACCUGGCCUCCCUCAAUAAUAGCUGGCUCACCCGAUUGACGAUUUUCAAAGAUCUACGCCAAGCGCCUCGAAGCGGGGAUCCACUUUUUACUACUUUAGAAAGUGAGAAGCCUUUGGCUUGAUUUCUUCUGUGGCUUCUUUAUGUUUACCCACGCCGCGGCUAUUCAAUAAAAGGAUUGGUAGUUAGUUGCCUCACCCUAUUGGUUGUUGGUUUUCUUUCUCCUCUGCGUUCGUGAAAAGCUAGUAUGCUCGCGGAAAUCGUCUAAAGGAAACUACUCGCUAACUCGCUAACAAGACGGACUUCUUCCUCUGGCUCUGCCAGGCUAUGCUGCUCGCCUAAAUCGGUAUCAAUAACUUCUAUCGUACUUCGACCUCUCAUUGGAAUGAUAAGUUGGCUACGACGAACUAAUAAGUUUCUCUUCUUGUCACCUUCUUUAAGCCUUUCCUUCUGCUUCCAUCGAGAAAUAUAUAUAGAUAAGCUUGGAGAAGCGAUUAAGGUGUUUCCACUCUUUGGUUGUUCAAUAUGCGAAGACCGUGUCAAUCACUACACCAGUGAUACGAAAAGCAAGCAUUCUUCUCCAGCUGAUGUACCGACGCCUCACUACUACUUAAUUAGUGAAAGAUACGUUGGGAUGUUUUCAAUUCUCCAUCAAGAGGCGGGCAACUAUCUCUUUUAACACUAGACUUCGGAUCGCCUUCCUACUAGUUUUCUUCUCGGUCUCCCCAACUAGGGGAAACCUCAAAGCAAACAACAGAGCAACACCUAUCUUUUUUCUUUAAGCACUGAACAUCCGGAUCCCCUUCCGACUUGCUUUUCCGGGCACUGGUCUUUCUAACAACUGGAACUCGUCUCCCUUUUCCUGAUUCGCAUCUUCUUCGGCUUUUGCUACGGUCUGUUCCUUCCUUCAGUCAGUCCUUCCUUCAAGAUUUUUGCCUGCGGAUCUCUCUCUUCAAAACAUAUAUAUCUUUCGGCGCCAGUCUUUCCUGCCUUACCUUAACCCCGCUUUCACGUGGCGAAUCGGUAUGAGGUUUCAGUGAUCACUUUACGGUAUUCUUUAAGCUUUCUUGGUCACCGGACAGAGUGAGAACUGCUCAGCUUGCUUUCUUUCCCUAGCACACACUUAGUAGAUAGUAGGCACAGGUCCGCUAAGAGCUCAUCGAACCUGACUUGUAGAGUGAGACCUGUGCUCGAUAUGGUUCAUUUCAGUGCUCUUUCUCUCGGUAUCAUUCACCACAUGCCUGUGAUCGAUCUCUCUCAAGCUAGGUUUGGUAUCGGUAUCGGUGAAGUCCGUCAUUGAAUUGAAGUGGUAGAGUGGUAAGUGGGCGUACGGUCUAUGUAUUUCCUAUCAGUGGCAUUAGUUCCUUUUCAUUCUCUAGAUAGGCAGAACAAGCUUCUCUUUAUAUUCUAUUCUAGAAAGGAUCAAUUAGAUUCUCAUCUCCUAUUUGUUUGAGCCAUUCAUUAUAGUGGUGGUGCCGGGAAGGCAGCUUAGCACUCUAGUCCUUUUGAGUAAGGAAUUGUAGCAUGGGCAGGCAAUCUCUUCGAUUGAUUCCCCUCCAGGAAUUACUUGAAUUAAUUAGUCGGCCCACGAAGUGAAAUAUUGAACUUAACCUAUAAAUAACUAGUAUCUCAAAAACCAAAUAAAAGGCUUUCUUUUAAGCUUGUUAAUGGAAUUCCACAGGAGUCAAGCGCUAGCAAAGAAGAAUUGGAAAUCAGUCGCUUCCCUUCUGGACUCAAGUCAGCAGAAGAGUGAACUUCAUAUUAAUAGGUAAAUCCUACAUCAAGCGGAAAAGCCAUGAUGUUUCCACUCCAUUUUCAUUACGAAGAUGUAGUACGUCAGGAUCUGUUGCUCAAACUGAAUCACGCCAAUGUUAUGGAAGUUCCUGGAUUGUUUGAAAUAAGAUUAGUACCAAAAGCUCCCUAUGACCCUUUGUACGGAGCAUUCAAAGUUCCUCACGCUGUCAAGCAAGACUUUGAUCUCGAUUUGGGAGAGCAAACACAGCUUCGCCAUCCAGCCAAGUAUCUUUAUUGAAUUGUGACCCUAUCUAGCACUUAAAAAUCUCUCUUCUUUCUCCGUCACUAGAUUCCGGUUAAAACGCUUGGUCCACCCAUGCUUUUCCUCUCCAUUUUUCAUAUGGAAAGGGAAAGCAGUGCCAACUUAUUGGAAUUCUGCAUGGCAUAUUUCCCAACCUCCUGCUAUUCCAGGCUCUAGUGCUCAGUCAUAAACCUAUUGCCCGCUCCGCUUUCCCAUUCCUAUUGCUUUCGGUAUCUGAAUCUUCCUGAAUUCAAGUAGAGAAUACCAGGGCUUUCUUCUUCUUUGAUUUUCCUUGGGGCAGAGGAUAAAAAAAAUGGAUUUCCGACAUACCACCUGCGGCAUUAGGAUUCUAAGAUUUAGGAGGGGAAGGCUGAGGAGAGGGAUCACAUGCAUUCAAGCAAUCUCAAGAUUCAGAAACGAUCAAAAUAAUGGUAUGGGGAGAAGAAAGAGAGGAGAGUCACGAAAAUAAGGUAAACGCAAAGAGACGAUGAAAAGCAAUCAGAGAGGAGAGGGAAGAAUGACAAUGGAAAUCAUAAAGCUCAGCGAGGAGCACAUUACUAUGAAUAAUAAUGGAGAGGGACAUUAAAGGGGAAAACUGAGCAAAGAGAUAUAAAAAUAUACUAGAAAAGCUUUUCACUUCUACUUUGUUUUCUUGUUUAGAUUCAUUACUUCAGUGAUUGAACAUGGGCAGAUACCUAUAAGGACCCCAUUUCAUUGACCUUCGCCCUUUUAUAUCCCUCGUUAAGAUAUGUUAUCCGGACCAACUCCCACGUAGAAAACCAAGAGCAGUGAGUUACAAAACGAAGAGCAGUUAGAAUCGCGUAGCUGCGUGCCCCUUUUUCUGACUAGCUUCUUGUGAAAAGCAUUUCAGGCACGAGCACACCUGAUGAACU